GCAACAGGUCCCUAUUACAGGCAACAGGUACUAUAUACAGUCAACAGGUCCCCUAGUACAGGCAACAGGUACUAUAUUCAGUCAACAGGUCCCCUAUUACAGGCAACAGGUCCCUAUUACAGGCAACAGGUCCCCUAUUACAGGCAACAGGUCCCCUAUUACAGGCAACAGGUCCCCAUUACAGGCAACAGGUGCUAUAUACAGUCAACAGGUCCCCUAUUACAGGCAACAGGUACUUAUACAGGUCAACAGGUCCCUAUUAAGGCAACAGGUGCU